UGUUCGCCAAAUAACUACGAGUAAAAACUUAAAAUUUAAAAGACUUGACGGUACUUCACACCACCCUAGAGGAGCCUGUCCAAUAACCGAUACUCCACGAUUAACCCAACCCACUCUGGCCCCCCAGUCUAUAUACCGCCAUCGCCAGCUCACCUUGUAAAAGAAACGAAGCGAGCUCAAAAGCACCCAUUAUCUUCACUAGCACGAUAGGUCGAGGUGUAACUAAUGAGUGGGGACAAGAUGGGCUACAUUUUCUACGACAGAAAACACGAACAAAAUACGAAAGUAUAAACCGAAGGUGGAUUUAGCAGUACGCUAAGGACAAAACACUUAGCCGAAACAGAUGCAAUGAAGUGCGUACACACCGCCCGUCAUCCCUGCCACAUCACCAACCAUCCUCUAUAAACACCCACAACCCUAUUAACCCAGGGCAAGUCGUAA
rnacentral:rRNA from 1 species